rnacentral:rRNA from 1 species
CACGUAGGAGCCAAGCGUUAUCCGAAUUCACUGGGCGUAAAGCGCGUGUAGGCGGUUGUAUAAGUUGGAUGUGAAAGCUCCUGGCUCAACUGGGAGAGGGCGUUCAAUACUGUAUAACUAGAGGACGGCAGAGGGAGGUGGAAUUCCCGGUGUAGUGGUGAAAUGCGUAGAUAUCGGGAGGAACACCAGUGGCGAAAGCGGCCUUCUGGGCCGUACCUGACGCUCAGACGCGAAAGCUAGGGGAGCGAACGGG